rnacentral:misc_RNA from 1 species
CGCACCUUGCACUCCUUGGUAUUCCGAGGAGUAUGCCUGUUUGAGUGUCAUGAAUAUUCUCAAACCCACAGUGUGUAUGUCUCUGUAUGUACUUGUGUGGUUUGGAUUUGGAGGCCUUGCCACUAUUUCAGUAGUCGGCUCCUCUUAAAUGCAUUAGCUUGGCCACUUCAAGUUGAGUUAUUCACAUUGUUGUAGUAAUCUAUCAGCAUUGUGUAAUGACCAGCUGCUUAGCAUGGCCUGCUUCUAAUCUGCUCUCGAGCAAUAUUUAUGUAUCUGACCUCAAAUCAGGUAGGACUACCCGCUGAACUUAA